UGGGGAAUAUUGCACAAUGGGCGCAAGCCUGAUGCAGCAACGCCGCGUGAGGGAUGACGGCCUUCGGGUUGUAAACCUCUUUUAGUAGGGAAGAAGCGAAAGUGACGGUACCUGCAGAAAAAGCACCGGCUAACUACGUGCCAGCAGCCGCGGUAAUACGUAGGGUGCGAGCGUUGUCCGGAAUUAUUGGGCGUAAAGAGCUCGUAGGCGGUCUGUCGCGUCUGCUGUGAAAACCCGAGGCUCAACCUCGGGCCUGCAGUGGGUACGGGCAGACUAGAGUGCGGUAGGGGAGAAUGGAAUUCCUGGUGUAGCGGUGGAAUGCGCAGAUAUCAGGAGGAACACCGAUGGCGAAGGCAGUUCUCUGGGCCGUAACUGACGCUGAGGAGCGAAAGCGUGGGGAGCGAACAGGAUUAGAUACCCUGGUAGUCCACGCCGUAAACGUUGGGCGCUAGAUGUGGGGACCAUUCCACGGUUUCCGUGUCGCAGCUAACGCAUUAA
rnacentral:rRNA from 1 species